GUGAUUCCUUCCGCAGUGUACACUUAUCGAAGCCUUUGCAGCCACGCAAGUGGCAGGCCCGAACGACUGUAAAUAAAUUGGCGCCGCUGCAAGUCAGCCCCCGGGCUGGCGACACUUUCGAAUUGACGGGGACACCCUAAAGCCGAUCGCACCAACCUGUGGGGGAAACCGCACGGGGGCCCGUGGUAAUGACACGGGGGAUGGUAACAGACGAUCUGGAUAGUUCUGCUUCGGCAGAGAGGAUGGGCAAUCCGCAGCGAAGCCCCUAAGUCCCGUCCCGGGAUACGGGGAACGUCCACAGACUAAGUGGAAGUGGGUGGGAUGCUACCACAUCCUGCUUAAGAUAUAGUCGGGCCCCCUGGGAGACCAGGGGGAGAAGUACACUGCUCAGUCCUUCUGAAUCCCGUUCCGUAGGUGAACCUGCGGAAGGAUCAUUACCGAGUGAGGGUCCCUUGCGGGCCCAACCUCCCACCCGUGUUUAACUAUACCGUGUUGCUUCGGCGGGCCCACUGGGGCCUGUUCCCGGUCGCCUGGGGGGGGUGAAACCCCCCGGGUCCGUGCCCGCCGGAGACCCCUUGAACCCUGAGUGAAUCGAGUGUCGUCUGAGUUUGAAUUAAAUCAUUAAAACUUUCAACAACGGAUCUCUUGGUUCCGGCAUCGAUGAAGAACGCAGCGAAUUGCGAUAAGUAAUGUGAAUUGCAGAAUUCCGUGAAUCAUCGAAUCUUUGAACGCACAUUGCGCCCCCUGGCAUUCCGGGGGGGCAUGCCUGUCCGAAGC
rnacentral:misc_RNA from 1 species